AAUUUAACAGGUGUCAAAUUUUAACAGGACCCUUGCCAGAGCAUCCACAUCCAGCCAAGGCUAGCCACAGGUGCGGGAGAAAGCUUGGGCAUAGCUGAAAGAGAACUAAGAUACCUGACGCAUGAAGGAUCUCUGAACAAGAAUACUUCCAGACAGAGCGGAGCCAAAUCGACCCAUAGAGGAUUUGAUGUUGCCAUCCAGGCACUUCAG
rnacentral:lncRNA from 1 species